rnacentral:misc_RNA from 1 species
UUUUUUAAACAUUAAGCUGCUUAAAUAUCAUAAAAUAAGCUCAAACAUAUAUUUUGAAAAUGCAUAAUUCAAUGCAUUAAAACACUCAAUGGGCCAGGAUACACAGAAGGUCUACGAUUAGAAUUACAAUACAAUAAGAAAACCCCUACGUAGUUCCAAGUACAAUACAAGGCCCAGGUCCCCAACCAUCAAACCCUAGAUGAAACCUCAGCAGGAACACCAAGGUCUUCUUCUCCGCGUAGUAGCAUCGUCAUCAUUGGGAAAUCAGCUAGAGAGACCCAUUGGAAGCCAGAGCCACAAUAAAAUGAUCCACCAUUGCUAAGAAGCGAUAACAACUGAGCCAAGAUUGAACAAUUCAUUCUCAACCAGCAAAUCAACUCUACCCAUAAAACACAGGGCUUCAACCAUCAAUUUGGGACAAAGGCAAGCAAGGGCCAUGGCGUUUCAGGUUGUAAUAGAUGGAAGCCAGCAACCCUUUUAAUGCUGGCUCUACAAAUCCCCAAAUAAGCCUACUGUCGAGCUUCUCCCAAGCACCGAAAGUCUUUCAUUGAACAAGGGUCACAAGGAAACCACAAACCCAAGCUAAGCUUCAAUUCGCAGCUUGCUCCUAAUAAAUCUACACUAGAUUACCCUUUACAUGCAUGAUCGAAGAUCUGUUACUCAAAGCCAACAAACUCAUCCUAUGAACAAGCCAGAUGGGAGGGCAAGAAGCCCUAACCCAGCCUGACCAACCACAAAAAACCCAGCAAAUGGAAUCCUAAAGAUGCCUUCCCCUGUCCGAAGACAGUGGAGGACUAUCAGGAAACAAAACUCGACGAGUUUGAGAGAGAAACAAGAAGCAACCUAUUUUGAGAGGAUUUGCUCUUUCUAACAAACAAGAGAGAAAUUGUCUAGUCUAAUAUAU